AAUUUAUUUCAUGGUGAAACAAAAAAAAGGGUGUCAACAAAGCAAAGGAAGCAGAUUUAAUUCAAUUAUUAGUUUGUAAAAAGGGCGUGGGAGUUUAUGAGUUACACUUCUUCCCGCUCU